rnacentral:rRNA from 1 species
UACGGAGGGUGCAAGCGUUGCUCGGAAUUAUUGGGCGUAAAGGGCAGGUAGGUGGUCUCAUUUGUCUGGGGUGAAAGCCUUGAGCUUAACUCAAGAAGUGCCCCAGAAACGGUGAGACUCGAGUCCUAGAGAGGCUAGUGAAAUUCCCGGUGUAGCGGUGAAAUGCGUAGAGAUCGGGAGGAACACCAGAGGCGAAGGCGGCGACCUGGACAGGUACUGACACUCAACUACGAAAGCGUGGGGAGCAAACAGG